rnacentral:rRNA from 1 species
CUACGGGAUGCUGCAGUGAGGAAUAUUGCACAAUGGGGGAAACCCUGAUGCAGCAACGCCGCGUGGAGGAUGACGCAUUUCGGUGUGUAAACUCCUUUUAUGAGUCAAGAAAAUGACGGUAGCUCAUGAAUAAGCACCGGCUAACUCCGUGCCAGCAGCCGCGGUAACACGGAGGGUGCAAGCGCUACUCGGAAUCACUGGGCGGAAAGGACGCGUAGGCGGGAUGUCAAGUCAGGUGUGAAAUCCUAUGGCUCAACCAUAGAACUGCACUUGAAACUGGCAACCUAGAGUAUGGGAGGGGGAGAUGGAAUUAGUGGUGUAGGGGUAAAAUCCGUAGAUAUCACUAGGAAUACCGAAAGCGAAGGCGAUCUCCUGGAACAUUACUGACGCUAAGGCGUGAAAGCGUGGGGAGCAAACAGGAUUAGAUACCCGCGUAGUC